GACCGCGUAGCUCAGUUGGAAGAGCAUUGGGCUAGUAUUCCAAAGGUGAUAGGUUCGAAUCCCACCGUGGCCG
rnacentral:tRNA from 1 species